rnacentral:rRNA from 1 species
UAUUAUUCUUAAAUAAAUUUAUAAUCUUAGGUUAGUAAUAGUUAUUUACUUAAAAGCUAAAAAAUUUGGCGGUAAUUUAAUCUUCUCAGAGGAACUUGUUUUUUAAUCGAUAAUCCCCGAAAUAUCUUACUUAUUUUAUUCAAGUUUGUAUACCAUCAUUAUCAGGUAAUUUUUAAAAAAUAAAUUAUUAUGAGUAAAAUUAAUUAAAAAAAUUAGAUCAAGGUGCAGCUUAUAAAUAAGUUAAAAUGAGUUACAAUAAAUUUUUUUAUAUGGAUAGGCAAAAG